UGAGUCUCGAUUUCUGUUGAGACAUUCAGAUGGUAGAGUCAGAAUUUGGCGUAAACAGAAUGAGAACAUGGAUCCAUCAUGCCUUGUUACCACUGUGCAGGCUGGUGGUGGUGGUGUAAUGGUGUGGGGGAUGUUUUCUUGGCACACUUUAGGCCCCUUAGUGCCAAUUGGGCAUCGUUUAAAUGCCACGGCCUACCUGAGCAUUGUUUCUGACCAUGUCCAUCCCUUUAUGACCCCCAUGUACUCAUCCUCUGAUGGCUACUUCCAGCAGGAUAAUGCACCAUGUCACAAAGCUUGAAUCAUUUCAAAUUGGUUUCUUGAACAUGACAAUGAGAUCACUGUACUGAAAUGGUCCCCACAGUCACCAGAUCUGAACCCAAUAGAGCAUCUUUGGGAUGUGGUGGAACGGGAACUUCGUGCCCUGGAUGUGCAUCCCACAAAUCUCCAUCAACUGCAAGAUGCUAUCCUAUCAAUAUGGGCCAACAUUUCUAAAGAAUGCUUUCAGCACCUUGUUGAAUCAAUGCCAUGUAGAGUUAAGGCAGUUCUGAAGGUGAAAGGGGGUCAAACACAGUAUUAGUAUGGUGUUCCUAAUAAUCCUUUAGGUGAGUGUAUAUUUAUUGAAACAUAUUUUUGACAGAACUCAGAACUUAUAUUAGAAAUUCCAACUGUUGUCUGUGCCCUGCUGUACAUAUCUUAAAAACAACAUACUUUCUACAUUUACUGUGAAAAUAUGAUUUGAUAUCAUUUGUAAUUUCCACUUUCUGUUUUCCUUAUUGUCUUUAAUAUUCCUUAACAUUUUUUCUUUUACUGCUGUAGAAACUAGAAAAACAGGCUAUUUGCUAGGCAUCGGUGUUAGAUUUUGCCUUUCUUUGUCUGCAUGUGCACGUAAACAUUUCUCAGUCAUUACUUCUUCCUCUCUUCCCCGUCCUUCUCUUUUCUCUCUUUUAGGUUCUCCAUCUAGCCCUCCAACUCUUAUUUCAUUUAUCACCUUUUUUGCUUUUUUUCCCCAGUCUUUUUUGUUAAGUUUCUUAGUAAUUAUCUCUCUUGUUCAUGACAGAUUCUCCAGUUGCAAUUUGUACUCUCCAAAGCCUUUUUACUCUUGUUUCCAAAUCUCAACUUUUCAAAUAUUCUGAAAUACCCAGGUGCUUGCUCUACCUUCCCAAUUUCUUUCUGAUUCAGACUUCUACUUUCCCCCUAAUCUCAUCUGCAGGCUGGCGCAUAAACAGAAGAGGUUUAUGGUGGACAUGACAUACAUCUCUCACUGCUCUUUUGGGUUGGUUUAUGGGUCCUCAGCAGUCUAUUUCCCCUUCUUCACUACAUCUCUGCUUUGUCACCAACGUCUCCUCUCUACUUCCACUAUUCUUUACUUCCUUCUUUGUCACCGUUCCCUUCAAUGCUACCUUCCUUCUCAAGCAGUUUACAGGGAACGUUCACGUCUUCAUGCAUUUUGGCAUUCAUUCUCCCCUUGACUCUCUCCCUUUCCAUUCAUCUCCUCCAGCAGUCUCUCUGAGGAGCUUGGUUGGGAAAGAAAAGUUAGUCAGUGAAAUAUAACUGAUGCUGGAAGAUGAUGCCACCUGCUGUUGUCUGCACCUCUUCACUGUUUUGGUAGCACCGUCCUGAAGCUUUAAAACCUCUAGUGAUACUACUGCUUGUUGUGAUGCUGGUCAUGGAACAAAUAUUUUAUUUUAAAACUUUAUUUUUUUUAUUCUGGUACUUUUACAUUUCCCAUGCAUGUACAACAACAGUGAUUUAAUAAUUAUUUGCCAAAUAUGUCAUAAAUUUUCAUUAUUGCUACACAUUUUUUGGUUAACAUUUUAAACUGUAUUUACACAGCUGUAGACCGAGGGACCCAGGCAUGUCUGAGUGUGAUAACAUUCCCUGGAAGGGCAACCCAAAGUGAAGAAACACCCCAAGCAAGCAGCAACGGUGUGGUUGUACAUGCAAUGGAAGAUUUGGAUGGCAGAGGGCACUGUACCUUUGAAUACUAAUGUAAUUGAACGCCAAAACCGGAAGGUGGAAGGAGACAAAUUCCAUUCCACUGGAUUGAUAUAAUGACGCUGUUCUCAAAUGGUAGUCUGCUUGAGACAUUAUAUCCAGAACAAAUAGGCCAGAAUCCUUGGAAAUCAUAUAACAUCAUGAAUGGACAAUUGGAAUGUUUGUUAUAUCGGAAAUCCAGCUGUGUUGGAAUGGGGUAGGGGGUGCAAGUCACAUAGCCUGCACAAGAUCAACUUUUGAGUAGGCCUAUGCAAAGCUGUGAUUAAAGUUAAGCCAUUCCACCCCCAUAUCUCAGCUGAAGGACCAUGGGAGCAUGAAGAAAAUGUAAUCAUCUGUGUCCUUCAAAAUUACAUUUUUAACUUUAGAUUCAGAUAUAAUUUAUUCAUUUUUUACACUUAUUCUAUACGUGAGACUAAGAACAGGCAUUUUUUUUACCUGGAAACAAAUACAGGAUUAAUAAGAAAAUAUUUACUUAUCUGUUUACAAAGAUAUGAACUGGACAUAAGCCUAUAUAUCUUUUCUCCAGACAUUUUAUUGGACAGUUUUGGUCCUUUAAAGUAACUGUCAAUUGAAAAUAUAACUUAGAACUAUAUAUUUUUUUAUUUCAUACCCAAAUAAUGUUGUUGACUCAGUGUUUGUGGGUAAAGCGAAAACUGAAGAAAACACCCACCAUAAACGUGAUUCUAAAAAAAUGCAAUGAAGUAUGAUGUAAUAUUCUCCAGAAUUUGAGCCACCCCUUGUUUCUAGGCAAGCAUAGAAAGAAUUGGUCAUUUGAUCAAACAUUUUUGAAGUGUCAUCCACUUUACUCACCCUGUGAUGGACAGAGGCACGUGGAAUAAGUGGUAAGCACAAUUUAAGUUCAGAUUUUUUUUUUUUGCCAUUCCAAGUUGGAAAGAAUCUCAGACGUGUUAGUGCUUUAGGAAGUUACAACAUGUGGCAUGACUUUAGUUCUAAACUGCUGAAUGAAACAAGUUUGUUAAAAUGGUUGGGAUGGCGUAAUUUGAGCCAAAAGGGUUGAGGUAAGUUGACCCAGUGACCUGCCUGCACCAUCAACCCAAAAGGAAGAAAGUAUGAACCUAAAUCUUGACCAACACACCAGAAGGCCCACAAUAACAGAGAAAAUAAAAAGGUUGAAACAUAAACAGUGACAUUUGUUUUGGCCCUGAAAUGGUCAAAACAAAUCAAAACCAACAAGAAAACCCUUGUCUACAGUAGCUCAGAAAAAAGUGACAUAAACAUUUCGCUUAACAACACCACUGACAGUUCAGAAGACGACCUGAGUGAGGAUGAGGACAAUAAUCUGUCUGCAUUACCCUAUAUGAGGUGAACAUUUUCAAUUUUACUUCAGCAUAAUGAAUGUCACAAUUUUUUCUAAUUUGUCUCAAACUAUCCUCUCCCUAGGCUCAACUUCCCCUCAUCGGGUGCAAGUUGAACCACAAGACCACUUUUUUUUGACGAGUCAUAUUUUGAAAACUGUUUCGUUUAGAUCCAAAGUGAUUAUUCCCAGGGAUGUACCACAUCAUGAAAUAUAUGUACAUAUUUUAGUUGGAGAUAUUAAUGUCAGGCCUUCACUUUAAAGCCGCCUCAAGUAAAAACUGUCUCAAUUGACCCCGCUCUCCCCUACAAGGUAACAGAGUACAGGGUAAAGAACAAGACAGGAAUAAGUUGGCUUGCGUGCAGUCAAACUUCAACGACAAGACCCUAGUAUGGAAUGCCAUUUAAGUUCAUAUUAAAUAAAUGUCUAUUGUUAUGGAAAUGACUUGAACUUAUUGAUUAAUGUAUCCAUGUUUAGAUAAGAAAAGGAAUGUCGGUUGUGCUGUGGUAUUUCAAAAUGAUUAAGAACUACUUUUAUUUAUUUCCACUUUUAUUUCAUAAUACCACAUUUAUGUAUUUCAAGUGACUUGUAUUUCAUAACCUGGCUUGCACAGUGGCGCUGAGCCCAGAAAGUAUUAUGAUCCUAGCAACGUCUCUGGGCUUGCAAAUCCAUUUAAUUCAAGGAAGAGCUUUAGGUAAAGUUGCUUUGUAAAGUGAACAUCAUUACUUUUGUAUUAUAUGUAUGUUAG
ensembl:lncRNA